CUUGGCGGCGAGCGGCGGACGGCUGAGUAACGCGUGGGAACAUACCCCAAAGUGAGGGAUAACUGCCCGAAAGGGUAGCUAAUACCGCAUAUGAUCUUCGGAUUAAAGGAUUUAUCCGCUUUGGGAGUGGCCCGCGUCGGAUUAGGUAGUUGGUGAGGUAAUGGCUCACCAAGCCGACGAUCCGUAGCUGGUCUGAGAGGAUGAUCAGCCAGACUGGGACUGAGACACGGCCCAG
rnacentral:rRNA from 1 species